CUCUAACUCGGGAUGGCGCCUGUCGCUGGGAAGCAGGAUUGGAGGUGAAAGCCGCAAAAUGAAUCACUCUGAAGAGGGACAUGUGUCUCCUGCCAGGGUGUGCGAGAAAAAGGGCCAAACGAAUGAUGCCUGGCGGCUGCUCAGCAAGAUGCCCACCCGGCACCACGGUGAAUCCGGAGCCUCUCUCCGCGGCACGCCGCGCUGCUGGGAUUGAUUCCGCCUGGCUCCUGCAGGGUUCUGACACAGCCUCGGCAACGAUGAUGUCACCUGCCCGGGCUGCCGAAGGCUCGUCACCUCUCCCCGUCACCCCCCAUCCACCCCGGCGCUUCAGCACACCCCGUCUCUGAAACCAGGCUGCUUCCCCGGGGCUUGCUCCGUUCCUCCUCUGCUCCCCGGCUGCUGCCUCGCAUCCCCGAGCGCUUCCGCUGGAAAAAGCGGCAGGAAAACCCUGGGCUCCUCCCAGCAUCCAAGUUAACCAGAGCCAACCCCUGAUCCUGUCCCUUCGACAGGUUCUUGGAUCCUCUUCUGAGGGACGAGGGGACCCCAGACAGUUCCUGUGAAUCCUGCCCCAGGGCGUAACGCUGAACUCUUGGAACUUCGGCUUUUGCGCAUCUUUUCCCUCCUGCGCGGACCCACGGUGGCGAGACCUGGCCGGGCUCCCACAGAGCAGCUUGCUGCCGCCUCCGGAGCCCGGCACAGCAGUGGAGCGGCUCUUUGGGGCUACCCAAGCCCAUCUACUCUCACCUGGCCGCUUGGACCCGCAAAACCCCUUCCCUGGGCUCGCAAAAGGCGGCGACCAAAACCAAAUGGGCAGAGGCACGGGGCUGCUCCGAGGCACCGCUCCCGUUGCGGUGUACCGAGGGUUCGGUGCGCGCCGCAACCAUUAAUAAAGCAUCAAAGGCUCCUGAGGGGGAAAAAAAGAGUUUGAAACUUCUUCAAAAAACACAUGCAUAUUAAUGACGCACCAAUUAUUCAUGAGGAAACCGUCUCCCCUCGCCAGCAACUUCCAGGGCUCCUGUUUGCUCGGGUGCGGUGCAAAAACCUUUCCCAGUGACCCAGCCCUGCCCGCUGGCACCAGCUCUCUGCCGGGAGAAGUGCCGGCACCGCGUUUCUCCCCCCAGCAGCUCUCCUGGCACCGGCAUCCCCGGCACAGCGCCUCAACGCGCUCGCUGGCAGCGGCCCCACCUGUCUGCUACCCGUCCCGCUGCCAACACCCUCCAGCGGAGCCAGGGAGCAGAAGAAGGGAGGAGAGCGGCUCAGCCGCUGCAGCACAGAGAUAUCUACCUGCGGUCGCGAACAGGCAGGUCAGCUCCGACAGGAGCCGGCUGCUCUCCUUGCAGGUCCCAUCAAGACGGUGUCAGGGAGCCUGGCGAGCCCCGGCGCUGAUGCUCUGCAGGGGGGUGAUGGGCUUCCAUGCAAAACCCAGCCCAGAGCCUCCUCAAGGUCCACAGCCCCCUUCCAGGGGGACACAGGGUUGCCCGGGGGCCCAGCGACCCCUAGAA